AUCAGGUAGUUGGUGAGAUAAAAGCUUACCAAGCCGAUGACGGAUAACCGGUGUGAGAGCAUGAACGGUCACAAGGGCACUGAGAGACACGGCCCAGACUCCUACGGGAGGCAGCAGUAGGGAAUUUUCGGCAAUGGGGGAAACCCUGACCGAGCAACGCCGCGUGAGGGAUGAAGGUUUUCGGAUCGUAAACCUCUGUCUUUGAGGACGAUAAUGACGGUACUCAAGGAGGAAGCCCCGGCUAACUACGUGCCAGCAGCCGCGGUAAUACGUAGGGGGCGAGCGUUGUCCGGAAUUACUGGGCGUAAAGGGCGUGUAGGCGGCCUGUUAAGUCAGGCGUGAAAACCCCGGGCUUAACUUCGGGAUUGCAUUUGAAACUGGAUAGCUUGAGUGCAGGAGAGGUAAGUGGAAUUCCUAGUGUAGCGGUGAAAUGCGUAGAUAUUAGGAGGAACACCAGUGGCGAAGGCGACUUACUGGACUGUAACUGACGCUGAGGCGCGAAAGCCAGGGGAGCGAACGGGAUUAGAUACCCCGGUAGUCCUGGCCGUAAACGAUGGGUACWAGGUGUGGGAGGUAUCGACUCCUUCCGUGCCGGAGUUAACACAAUAAGUACCCCGCCUGGG
rnacentral:rRNA from 1 species